GACGAACGCUGGCGGCGUGCCUAAUACAUGCAAGUAGAACGCACAGUUUAUACCGUAGCUUGCUACACCAUAGACUGUGAGUUGCGAACGGGUGAGUAACGCGUAGGUAACCUGCCUGGUAGCGGGGGAUAACUAUUGGAAACGAUAGCUAAUACCGCAUAAUAUUGAUUAUUGCAUGAUAAUUGAUUGAAAGAUGCUAUUGCAUCACUACCAGAUGGACCCGCGUUGUAUUAGCUAGUAGGUGAGGUAACGGCUCACCUAGGCGACGAUACAUAGCCGACCUGAGAGGGUGAUCGGCCACACUGGGACUGAGACACGGCCCAGACUCCUACGGGAGGCAGCAGUAGGGAAUCUUCGGCAAUGGACGAAAGUCUGACCGAGCAACGCCGCGUGAGUGAAGAAGGUUUUCGGAUCGUAAAGCUCUGUUGUAAGAGAAGAACGGGUGUGAGAGUGGAAAGUUCACACUGUGACGGUAUCUUACCAGAAAGAGACGGCUAACUACGUG
rnacentral:rRNA from 1 species